UUAAUGUCUCUUAAUUUUUGAGUGACAUUAAAACAGGAAUUGUCAUCACCAAUAGACGAAUUUCACAUUCCUAAGAGUUUUCUCCAAUUGUUGGCGUAUCGCUCAUUUUUCCCACUUUGUCCUUUGUCCUGUUCUGUGGAUGCCCUAAGACAGUGUCUACCCAUCACUCCAUCUGAUAUCACUUGUUCUGAGCAUAUUUCUCUCUCAAACUUAAACUACAGAGAGCCUGUGGAUAGUGGAUGAAGAGUGACCUUGGACCAAUUUUCUAGGUCAAAGAUCAAAGGUGAUGUGAAGAAAACCAGGAAACUGAUGUUGA